CCAAUCUAAAUUUCUAAGGCUGAUUAGAGUACAGUCAGAAGUUAUUACCGUAUUUUCUUCUCACAAAAUUAUACCAUUAUCUCAUCUGUGAUACACAUUUUUAUUACAUUUUGUAGCUGCUUCUUGCUUCACUUAAAAAAAAAUUGUAGCAGCAGUUGCUUUCCAUGGCUUUAAUCACUAAGCCACCGCAAACGACUGCCUUAUACCAGAUUCACUAUCUGCCACGUCAUAAUCUGUGUUGGUAAAACCUGGGCCCUUUCGAAUCAGCAGAGGGAGCCAACUUCAGUUUUGACUUCUCCCUGCGGUUUAAGAAUUAGCUGACUUCUAAAAGUUCAAAUGUAGAGGCGACUAUUUGAAGGCCAUUUAUUCGUUUUUAGGAUUGACAAUGUGGGCCUAGAGUGAGCGGCCAGAUGGGUGUCCUCAACUGCAUUUUACAGAAGACACAGCUGAAACCCAAUCACCUGCCCAAGGUCAAACUCUGAGAAGGUGGUGAGUUCCCGAAUCCUCGUGGGAUGUGCUGCCACCAGCAUGAGCUGCUUUAUGAAAUCGACAUACCGACACGCAGAUUCUGAGGUUCCAACUCAAAUGAGAUGGGCUCACAAAGCACAAGAUGGCCUCCCAUAUGAGAUCAGAUGUUGCCCUCAUUGAGGGAAAGGAAUGUGCUUACAACGCAGCAGACCCUCAAUGUCGUUGAACGUGUGAAUACUGCUGGAUUUUUCCGACACCGGUAUCUGCCUCUUAGACUUUUCCCUGUAGGCUCGGCUGCCUGAAUGGACCUUUAUCUGCAGGCCACCAACUAGACUUGACGUUCUUCUAGACUUACUUCAUUCCACUUGAAUUUCCACCCCUGUAAUUGGCUUUCCUGGAAGAGCAGCUCACUUUUCACUUCUGUACUCUACCUAGAUUAGCAUCUAAGGCUUUACCUGGACCAUGACUUAAGGUAGCCGUCUUUCCAUCUCUGGACUGAUAUGUUGGUUUCCUUUUCUUCUGAUUCAUGCUUUUAUAUGCUGGCCCUUAUAGUUAUAUCCCCUGACUUUAUGUACAUAUAGCCAUAUUUUAACCUAUAUCAAAAGUGUACCUACAUUUGGCCUGAGGCUUGCCCUCUCUCAAUCAUUUCCAGCCUGCCACUUCUGAAGAAUUGGGUUUGCUUCACUGGUUUAUGAGACAUACACAUUUUCUUUUAUGAUCAUCAUUACUCUCUCUAUAUAUGCCCUUCCAAGAGGUUCCUCCAGGCCCUUUAAAACUUGAUCCUAUAAUUACCGUAAGCCUCUCUUGUACCCUGGC